rnacentral:tRNA from 1 species
CGGGGAUUAGUUUAACGGUAGAAUUCGCGGCUGGGGGCCGUGAGACCGGAGUUCAACUCUCCGAUCCCCGA